UACAGAGGGUGCGAGCGUUGUUCGGAAUUAUUGGGCGUAAAGGGCGCGUAGGCGGUGCGGUAAGUCACCUGUGAAAUCUCCUGGCUCAACUGGGAGCUUGCAGGCGAAACUGCCGUGCUGGAGUGUGGGAGAGGUGCGUGGAAUUCCUGGUGUAGCGGUGAAAUGCGUAGAUAUCAGGAGGAACACCGGUGGCGAAGGCGGGUCUCUGGGCAAUUCCUGACGCUGAGGCGCGAAAGCGUGGGGAGCAAACGGG
rnacentral:rRNA from 1 species